GUGAGAAUCAGAGACCAAAGUGUUUUCUCAGCCACUGUCUCACUGGGUGACUGUGGCCAUCUCAGGUCACCUUAAUCUCCUAUUUUUUGUUUUUAUGGAGAACCCUAAGACAACCUCCACCCAGGUUUCAAGGUCUUCCUUAAUUCAACCCCACCCUAACAUCCAGUCUCAUUUCAAAAGAUUAAUAUUACUAUAUGAACAGUUUACAGCAUGCCAAGCGCUGUGCUAAGGGCUUUAUAUGCAUCAUCUCAAUUAAUCUGUAUAACAGUACCCUGAGGUAGGCCUAUUUUUAUUUCCCUUAAGAGAUAAGAACACUUAGCCUCUGAAUAAUUCUGGGAAUUUAGCCCAAGCCUGCCUGACUCCUAAAUCUGUAUUAUUAGUCUGAGUCUAUGCUAUCUCCACAACCUGACAAAUGAGCCCUUCUACAAUCAUUUGGCUGAAACUUUCAGUUCGUUUUGGUCUCCAUGUCUUAGAAAGGUAAUUAUUUCUAAACUUUGUUGCAUAACAGAAUGACCUGGGGGAUUUUUUUUUUUUUUUUUUAAUAUCUAAGGUGCUCAGCUCUAACAUUCAGAGCCGCAGUUGUUCUGUGGUGUGGUUCAGGAAUCAGUCUUUUAAAGUUCCCAGGUGAUUCUAGCAGGCCAGACUGCAAGUCAAUAUUGGGAAUAAGGGCCUUAGGGGUUAGACCAGUGGUUCUCAAUCUUUAACCUGUAUCAGAAUCACCUGGAGGUCCUGUUAAAACACAGGCUGCUGAGUCCUGCCUCUCAAAGUUUCUAAUUCAGUAGAUUUGGGAUAGGGUCCAAUAAUCUGCAUUUGUGAUAAGUUUCCAUGUAAUCCUACUACCAGUAGUCCAGGGACCACACUUUGAGAACCACUGGGUAAAGCUCUUCUCCUUGCUUUAAAUAUGUUCUUUGUACCUUCCUCAAAUCCAAAUUUCUGCUUAUCCUUAAAGCCAACUUCUCCAUAAGGCCAGCCCACUUUGGAACUUCCGCUCCUUCCUCUUCCGCUUCCUGCAGCCUCUAUUUACCCCGUGUCAUCCAAGCUGGCAGGUUCUGGCAGCCCAGGUGAACAAUGCAUUCUGGCUGUUUUUGUUCUUUCCUGUGAUAGCAGGAUGUCUAACUUCACAGUUAAAAAGCCCGAUAAAUCUGUUUAGGAGCUGCCUGGUAUGUCGAUGUGUACACAUGCUCUCAGCCACAGCGGAACCCCCCCUUCCUCUUCUCCCAUUUAUCUGCCCCAGUCUCUCUGAGGAUGCUAUGAAGGCUGUCUGGACGUGGCUCAGAAAACUGCUGUGAAGACCGCAGGGAGCACAGGACGGCCGAGUCCCCAGCGCUGCCUGUGCCAGGCCUGGCCCACCUGCUGCUGGCACUAGGGACUCAGCACUUUGCGGAAGCUUGGGUAUGACAGCCCUCAGUCGACGUCCCCACUGGCUAAUUUCCACACUCUGAACCAGACCCCUCUCCCUGGGAGCGAGGAGUGAACC
rnacentral:lncRNA from 10 species